UACGGAGGAUGCAAGCGUUAUCCGGAAUUAUUGGGCGUAAAGCGUCCGCAGGUGGCACUUCAAGUCUGCUGUCAAAGACCGGGGCUUAACCCUGGAAAGGCAGUGGAAACUGAAGCGCUAGAGUGUGGCAGGGGUAGAGGGAAUUCCCGGUGUAGCGGUGAAAUGCGUAGAGAUCGGGAAGAACAUCGGUGGCGAAAGCGCUCUACUGGGCCAUAACUGACACUCAGGGACGAAAGCUAGGGGAGUGAAUGGG
rnacentral:rRNA from 1 species